GCUUACGGCCAUACCACCCUGUCUGCGCCCGAUCUCAUCUGAUCUCGGAAGCAAAGCAUGGUCGGGCUUGGUUAGUACUUGGAUGGGAGACCGCCUGGGAAUACCAGGUGCUGUAAGCU
ensembl:rRNA 5S_rRNA 5S ribosomal RNA